rnacentral:misc_RNA from 1 species
ACUCCAUAUUAUCUUGGUGGGGUUGUUUGAAUGUGGACUCUGAGCAGCGAUUGGCUGCCCAUGCUAAGAAAAUGUAACAAAAACUAUAUCAGACAACAGGUGCUACCAGAACGUUGUGACAUGUUGCCAUAGAAACUGAGUGAGGAUUUACUCACUAACUUGAACAUUCUUUGAAUGAAAUCCUUUAGUUAAUGGACAUGAAUGUAUUUUGUGAUUUUCUUCUCUCUAUCUCUUUUUUUUUUAUUACAAUCAUCAACAAAUUCAACAAUCUGAUUAUGUGCAAUGACUAAUUUAGAAUGAUUUUGUUAUAUGAGAUUUUUCAUGUGAUUUUACAUUUUCAUUAUGUUUCAUUUUAUCAGUGUAGAUUUCAUUGGGUGUACCAUGAGUACAUUCAGUCUCUCGCUUGUGCUGUGUAUUGUUGUAAUGACGAUGCCAGCCAUUGACCUCUAGACUGGGAUGAAGUACACUAGUAUUUGACCCCAUCAUGUCUACCAGAUGUAAUUGUAUCUUCCAUUCAAUACAGUUGAUAUUAAUGAUUGCAUCAUAUAAAAUGCUCUUUUUGUAAUUUUUUGUACACUAUGAUUUUGAGUAAUCAAAUUGCCGUACCGUACAAGGUCCAAGACGACUUGCUCUGUUACUGACCAUCAUGUUUCCACUGAUUGGAUAGAGAGACUUUGUCAGUGUUGCCAUGGAUUCUGAAGGAGAUUGUUAUGGAUCUGUGAUGGUGUUCUUGUUAAAAACAACUGGAAGUUCUACUGACUACUUUUUCUACAAUUUUUCCACAUUUCAUGUUGUAUAUUCUCAUCAUGAACUUGUCAUGACCCCUGUUCAAUAUUUUUCAGUUCCAAUAAUGAAUUAGAACUGCUUUAGGAAAUACCUGGUGAAAGCUUUAAGUAACCUUAUAAAUCAAUGUUUCAGAAAUUACGUUAAUUUUGCAUUCAUACAUUCUAUAUAGCUGGCGUGAUAAAAAUGUUGAAUUUCAUAGAGUUUAAGAAAAACAACUGUUUCACCCGUUUAUAAUAUGCUCGUGUGAUGGGGAAUUAUCCCCCUUGGCAUUUGCCAGUUAUUUCCCUUUUCAUUGGCUAAAUACUAUAUAGUUAUCCCUUGCCAUCAGUAUUUUAUAGUUCACAAAAUUUUUCUACGCAAAAAGCAUUACUCAUUUUUAUAAUGUUGUUAAAAUUAGAUAUAUAGUAUCAUAUAUAAUUUCUGACAAUCGUCGCAGCUUUCACACAUCUGCUUACUAUGACACAGCUAAAAUGUUUCUUAUGUCACAAUUUUAUUUCCUUCAAAACUCUUUUCAAUGACGUUUUAAAAAUCAACAUAUCCGACAUGUUGAACGAAAUAUCUUGCAGAGAUUCGAUCUUGGUUGUGAUUUAAAUUGCCCCCCUUAUUAGUGAUGUUGUCAUUAGAACCUAAAAUCAACCUUUGUGGGGCUUUAUUUUUAUAUGGCUACUGUUGUUGUCCGUGUGUUCUUGUGUGGGUGUGACAGGAGAGGAAUACCUCGCUCUGUCUCUCUCCCUCAUGUGCUAUAGUCAUGAAUGUCAAUUUCAUUUUUCUAGAUUUUCUUGAAUUUUAAAGCUCAGAAGAUGACAGUUAAUUUUAAUUACAAGUUGCCGACUCGUAUAUGGAACCAGGCAUUUUGAAUGAUUUUAGAUAUUUAAUCCUUGAAGCAUUUUGCGUUGCAUUGCAUAUUAAAGUCAUGUAUUUUGUAGUCGCUUUUUCACACCCUAAAGCGAAUGGUGCUGUAAUCUAAUUUAUCUAAUGCUUCAAUGGUACCUUUGUUUUUGUUAUUUAUAUUUUAUCUUUUUCUUAUGUAUACCUGUAUGUGGUGUAAAUAUGAACUGUUUGUAUUUUGUUGAGGCAGGAUACAGACAGGGCACCAGUUUUUAAAGAGUGACCAGUUUAAUUUUUAACAUGACUGCCCUAAUUUGGUCGCUAAUGCAUUUCAUUUUGUCAUUCCAUUCGGAGCUGUCGUCAUUGUUAUUCAAACUUUAUGUGCGAUGUACAUGAAUGCAUUUGUUAAAGAAGUAGUUUGUAUUGUAUGUAAAUAAAACUACAAAAAACG